CCGGUUGAUCCUGCCAGAGACUAUUGCUAUCCGGAUACUAUUAAGCCAUGCGAGCUGAGAGGUGUAAGACCUCGGCGAACUGCUCUGUAAUGCACAGUUAACUUGCCCUUAGGUGGGGGAUAAUCCCGGGAAACUGGGGCUAAUAUCCCAUAGGUAUUGGAUGCUGGAAUGCACUGAUACUUAAAGCCACGGUGCCUAAGGAUGGGACUGUGCCUCAUCAGGCUGUUGUUGGUGUAAAGAACCAACAAACCGAUAAUGGGUACGGGCUAUGGAAGUAGGAGCCUGGAGAUGGACUCUGAGACAUGAGUCCAGGUUCUACGGAACGCAGCAGGCGAGAAAACUUUGCAAUUAGCUAACGCUAGACAAGGGAAUCUGGAGUGUUCUUGUUUUUACAAGAACUUUUGCUUUCUGUAAACGGGAAAGCGAAUAAGGGCUGGGUAACACGGGUGCCAGCCACCGCGGUAAUACCCGGAGCCCAAGUUAUGGUCACUGUUAUUGGGUCUAAAGCGUCCGUAGCCGGUUUAAUAAGUCCUUGGUGAAAUCUUACAGCAAACUGUAAGGCUUGCUAAGGAUACUGUUAGACUUGAGACCGGGAGAGGUGGGAGGUACUCCAGGGGUAGGGGUGAAAUCUCGUAAUCCUUGGGGGACCACCGAUGGCGAAGGCAUCCCACCAGAACGGGUCCGACGGUGAGGGACGAAAGCUGGGGGCACGAACCGGAUUAGAUACCCGGGUAGUCCCAGCUGUAAACGAUGCUCGCUAGGUGUCAGGUGCGGUGCGACCGCGUCUGGUGCCGCAGUGAAAACUUGAAGCGAGUCACCUGGGAAGUACGGUCGCAAGGCUGAAACUUAAAGGAAUUGGCGGGGGAGCACUACAACGGGUGGAGCCUGCGGUUCAAUUGGAUUCAACGCCGGG
rnacentral:rRNA from 1 species